rnacentral:rRNA from 1 species
UACAGAGGUCUCAAGCGUUGUUCGGAUUCAUUGAGCGUAAAGGGUGCGUAGGUGGCGGGGUAAGUCAGGUGUGAAAUUUCGGAGCUUAACUCCGAAACUGCAUUUGAUACUGCCUUGCUUUGAGGACUGGAGAGGAGACUGGAAUUCACGGUGUAGCAGUGAAAUGCGUAGAGAUCGUGAGGAAGACCAGUGGCGAAGGCGGGUCUCUGGACAGUUCCUGACACUGAGGCACGAAGGCCAGGGGGAGCAAACGGGGAUUAGAA